UGCCAGCAGCCGCGGUAAUACGUACUGUGCGAACGUUAUUCGGAAUCACUGGGCUUAAAGGGUGCGUAGGCGGUCAUUUAAGUAGGGUGUGAAAUCCCCCGGCUCAACCGGGGAACUGCGCUCUAAACUGGAUGGCUUGAGUAAGAUAGGGGUGUGCGGAACUUCCGGUGGAGCGGUGAAAUGUGUUGAUAUCGGAAGGAACACCAGUAGCGAAAGCGGCACACUGGGUCUUAACUGACGCUGAGGCACGAAAGCUAGGGUAGCGAACGGGAUUAGAUA
rnacentral:rRNA from 1 species